UUUUCCUACAAAAGCCCAUUCAUAAAAGUCUUGUUUGCAGCCCCUGGCACUUCUGGGAGCUCGUGAAAACUUGAAGAUGUGGGCCUAGUGGGAGGCUGUCAGGCCUUUGGACUGUGUCCUCAAAAGAGGAAAUGGAGUUCCUACCUCUGGCCAUCAAGUGAGCAGAUGUGCUCCGCCUCAUGCCCUCACCACAGUGUACUGCCUCACCAUAGGCCCCAAAGCAAUGGGGCCAAUUUACCGUGCACUGAUACCUCCAAAACCGUGAGCUCACAUAUACCUUUGCUUUUUAUAAGCUGCUUUUUCUCUGAUAUUUGUUAUAGUAACGGUAUAGUAUAGUAAAAGCUGGCUAACAGUCUACAACCUCCUGGCUAGAGAUUCCUGAAUUCUCUCCUAGCCAUCCUCCAUAUAGCCACCAGAGUCUUUCCGAUCCCACCAGACUGCCCGGCUCCCCUACAAAGUCCCAACAGAUUCCCUUGGCUGGAAAGUUCUAAGGCAAAUCCCCCAGCAACACAGCAAGUUCCUUCACAGUCUAUGUAGCUGCAGUGAGUUGUUCUCAACCUCGGCUACUUUUCAGGAUCUGGAGGAGCAUUAAAAACCGCCCAUGAGUUACAGUUUAAUUAAUCUGGCCGGGUCCCACGUAUCUGCAUUUUUAUUUCAUUUCCUAAGACCAGGUUCUGCCUUUGUGGACUCUGCAGAUUCCUGGGCCUCCGCUGGAGAGCCCACUGCUUUCUAAUCUCCAUCCCAGGAGCGAUGCAGGAACUGGCCUGAGAGUUUGAAUUAUAUCCCUUCCACUCCUGGUAGCUGACAAGCAGUCUUCAGCACUGAAAGAUCAAAACCAAGUCUGGGCCCCAUUGCUGCACACAGUAGGCUUGCUUGUGAGGGUUUCUAUUCCCACCCUGGAGAUACACUUCAGGGCAUGUCCGUCAGGGAUUUCUGGGUUAGUUUCAUUAAAAUGGGCAGAUUCCCUCUGUGGGCAGCACUGUUCCCCAGGCUGGCAUCCCAGGCUGCACAUGGAGAAGCUGGUGGGGUGCCAGCACCCAGCCUCUUAGAUCUUCACUACAGACACCUCAACCUCUGCACCUGCCUUCAGCACUGUGAUGGACUGUACCCCAACUGUGGGCCGGAACAGCCCUCCUUUCUUCCGGUCAGGCCAUUUUGUUGCAGUAACGAGGCAAGUAACUAAUACAUGGGUUAUUAGUUCCUUGGCACAUGGGUUAUCAUGACCUAUGGACCACUGAGAAUGAGAGGUGGAUGAAGAGGUCUGAACACAGAGUAAGUUUCCAUAGGACCGUGGGGAUGCUGAUUUCUCCCAGGAAGACCCUUAACUACACAAUGGAGAAGGCUCAGACCUCACUAGAUCUCACUAGUCAAGCCUGCUCAUUACUCCUCCUGGUCACUUUUCCAUAACUUGCCUCGGUCACCCAGGAACAUCCAACUUCUUCCUUUUUUUAAUUUUUAAACAGCUGAGGAUGGCAUUUAAGCACAAGUCUCAACCUUGUUGAUUGGGCUGUUCGUUUCUGUGGCACCAGGAAUUCCCUGCCGUUUGUCAAGCAGUAUUGUUGCACAGCAUCCUUGCUGCCACACUCUGGAGAGUUCUUGACAUCCCAGCAGCAAGUUCUGGCACAUUCUCACAACACCCAGGUCCUUGGCAGGAGAGGAACCAGAUGUAUUGUGCCAGAGAGUCCCAGGACCAUUUCCAAGUACCAGAGAGUCACUGAGUGCCCAUCAGGAUGGAGAUGAAGUCUCUGGGGAUGGACUGGACACACUGUGCCCAUCAGGAUGGAGAUGCAGUCUCUGGGGAUGGACUGAGCACACUGUGCACUCAGCCCUUGAGGAAGCAGAGACACUCAUUACUGAUUGGCCUAGUCUGAGUGUUUUUAAACUUCUGUGCAACUCAAGCUGCUUCUCCAACAUAGCACAUCCCUACACCAGAGCCAGCUGUGUCCAUUGAGGACUUCCUGUAGCUCAAGACGAUGCAAAUCAUCUGAAUAGAGCUGAGGAGAGAAGUGGAGAUCUUUGUCCUUGGGACCAAAAGAAACUGCAGCAUGAGAAGCUGUCCUGGUGCCAAUGGAGAGGCGUGCAGAGAACCAGGUCCAUUGCGCACAGACAAUAGACACGUUAUGUCCUUACUGAAGACUCCGAGGGCUGCUCAAAGCUCCACUUGGAGUGGAGGAGUGGAGAAGUGGUUCAUUGCGGAGGUGGGGCAGGUUGCCCACUGGUUUGGGAAGACACUUCCAUCACCAGUCCCAACCCUUGUUAUUCCCCUGGAGGUAGAUACUCAGUUGUCUGAGAAAAGAUGAAGUCAUCUCUGUUGGGUUUCAGGAUGUGAACGUGGAAGUGCUGGACCCAGAGGGGCGGAUGGAGGUGGAGAUGGAGAAGGUUGAUAAUGUCAAGACCCAAGAGGUGGUGCCUGAUGAACCACAGGGUGUGCUAAGGAGCCAGCCCCCGCCUGGGGUAUGGAGGCUGGCUGGUAGAAGACAGCUCUGAGCAUGUGGGUCCAAGCCAGUACCCAGGAACAAGCCCGGACAUGGGACCCACACCUGAACUGUGAUCUCAUGCCUAACAGGGCCACCACUCUACAGUUGUCUUGUCCAUGACUUCUGCACCCUGAGAAUGGCAUCUGCCUAUCCCCUAGAUACAACCGAAUGCCAGAAACAGUGUGUGCCAAAACAACCCCAAGAAACUGUAAGACCAGCACACCCCAAGCUGGGCUGUGAACUUGAUGUUAUCACUCAUUAGCCGAUACAGACCUGUAGGUCCCACGUCAGCCAAGAAUAUUGAGGCCAUGGGAAAUCGGGGCUUGUGGUGAUUUGGAUGAGAAGUCCCCCAUAGUCUUGGGACAUUUGAACACUUUGUUCCCUGUUGGUGGCACUGUUUGUAUAGGUUUCUGAGGUAUGACCUUGCUGGAGGAAGUGUGUCACUGGGGAUGGACUUUGAAAGACUGAACCACUUCUCAUUCACUCUCUUCCUCCUGGGGGUUCUAGACUUAUGUUCAAGACUUAGCUUCCUGCUUUGGCUGUCACACCUCCUCUAAGCCAUGAUAGACUCUCAUCCCAUGGGAACCAGAAACCCAAAUAAGCUCUCUCUUCUAGAAGUUGCCUUGGCUGUGGUGUUUUAUUACAGUGAUAGAAAAGUAACUCAGGCAGGGCCAAAGGAGAGGAAGACAUUUCUAUGUG
rnacentral:lncRNA from 1 species